GUGCUCACUUCGGCAGCACAUAUACUAAAAUUGGAACGAUACAGAGAAGAUUAGCAUGGCCCCUGUGCAAGGAUGACAUGCAAAUUCGUGAAGUGUUCCAUAUUUAA
rnacentral:snRNA from 1 species